rnacentral:misc_RNA from 1 species
GGCAAAAACAUUAAAAAUCAGAGAAAGGAUUCACUGAUCCUAAGAGACACUAGUUCAUUGGUUGCAUCUCACCGAGUCUUAAUCUUUAUAACCACAAAAUUUCCUAAUCAUCAUUUGCUGCUUGUCCCCUUGACAACUCUUUGGUGCAGGACAACCAACCAGAUAAUAAAAGGCAUAGUAAAGCCACAAAGGAAAGUAGAAACCACAUCACCAAUGAUUCCAACAAAACAUAUAAACAUAGCUACUAGUAAUGCAAACAAUACAAGUGGUAAUUUCCUUAGGGUAAAUGUUAUGAAUCAGGGACAAUCUACUGCUGGAGAUAAUGGUCCAUGUCAGCUCAGAGUCUACUACAAAAGAAAGAAAAAUGAGAGGGAAAGGUCCAACCAAUCAGUUGUGGAUGGGAAGGCUAAGGAUGAU